rnacentral:rRNA from 1 species
AUGAAUCUCCUCAGUUGGAACUGCCGAGGGGGUGGGAACUCUCGGACAGUUCGUGACCUUGUGAGUCUAGUGCAGGCUCACUCCCCGAGUAUCGUUUUUCUUUGUGAGAAUAGGCAGUCUAAGAACAAGAUGAAUCGUCUUCGUGCUAGGUUAGGUUUGAGAGGUUUUGAUGCUUUUGACUGUGUCGGUCGUAGUGGUGGUCUUGCUUUUUAUUGGCAUGAGUCUUUGAGUCUUGAUGUAAAAGAAAUAAAUGAAUGA